UACCAAACAAGACAAAACAUGUUCUUAAAUCCCGUUUGAAAAUGCAGUUCUGUGUUGUCAAUCAAGAUGGUUCCGAAGGUAGUCAUGUUACCCAUUGGACUUCUUACUGCCGUUUGGCUGGGACACACUGUGCAAUCCAGACCAUGGGGAACCUGCAACACUUGGUUUCAUCAAGACUAUCUAGUCCACGGAUGUCGCUUGGACCCAUUCCAGUUGCAAGAAUGUGUCCGAGGAAAGAAUUCCAGGAGUGCCUUCCACGAGUGUUUCUUUCCAAAUCAACCGGAUUCUUGUCGUUUGGACGAGGCCAAAAUAGAGCAUUGCAUUUAUUUGUAUCCAUACACGCCGUUCUCCAGUUUGCUAUGCUUUGUGUUGCCCAAUCAUUGGAACACGUGAAAUUGUUCGUACUUUUCGCACAUUUGAAUGAAGUAUCAGUGCAAUGGUUGAUUUUGAGAUUUUUUUGAAGAAAAAAGUGGAGUACUUUAUCACUGGAAGAAGAGGUAUGGCACAUGAAAUAUUGAAGUUUAAUGUGAUAUAUGAGUGAUAUGCGCCCGUGAUAAAUAAAUUGUUGAUCAACUGUG